rnacentral:rRNA from 1 species
AUGAAGAAUGUCUUGCAACGAGCCGGCGUGGACGACCCCAUUUUAAUGAAGUUCCACUUCAUGAUGGGAUUGCGCAACGACAUCUCCAAGACUAUCUUCCUCGAGAACUACAAGUCCCUCGACGACUACUACAUUGGUGCUCUCAAGGCGGAACAAGAACUCAUGAAGGCCAAGGCUUCUCCACCCAAGCACACUUCUCGAAGACCAAGCUCCAAGACGGCGAGCAUGAGGAUAGUACCACCACGAUGUCCAAACCCGACAAGCUCCAAGACGACGCUCCCAAGUUUGACUUCACCGCCAUCCCACUUUAUGGCAUUGAUAAUGCCGAGUCUACUUCGACUCUUUCAAGAUGGUGCGGCGACGACUACGACUACGGAGGCAUUCAAGGACCAAGCUUUGGAGGCGAACGACAUGGUGACGAGCAAGGAUGAUACUUCCAUCUUUGGAGGCGAGUGA